rnacentral:misc_RNA from 1 species
AAACUUCUAUUAUGCACUUUUAAUCAAAGACAAGCUAAACUUUUUCCCUUACUGGUCCACCACUGUAGUUCCUCUUCCUCUUCUCUUUAUUGGUCCAUCGAGCUGGAAGGCUGCUCCAAACCAACUGGUUCAUCGAGCAGGAAGGUUGGUCCACUAAGAUCAGAGAAGAGAGGAAUGAGAGACUGAAAGAUUGUUUACAAAAAUUUUUCCUGCUGUAAAUGAGAGUGUUGAGGGUUAGUGUGAUAG